CUACAGGUCAGCCACCAUAAGACAAGGGUUACAGGUCAGCCACCUCAAGACAAAGGCUACAGGCCAGCCACCAUAAGACCAAAACGCGUUUUUCUAUCCUGUCGCUUAUUUUUUUUUUUAUUAUUUAUUUAUUAAAACCUAUCGGCUUGAAUGUUUCAAUCAAUUUCUCCCUUGUUGAAGAUACAGUGUUAAGAAGUACUUGUUAUUAGUAUCUUCUUAACACUGCCAAUCUUACUUGGCUACAAGGAGUUUUGAUUUUGUGUGCCAGUGUCCGUGUACAUUGCAAGCCUUCCAGAUUCAGACCAAUAAAAGGAAUUAAGUUUUUCCGAUGACGUUUUAUUUAUUUCUUAGCCCUUAGAGCUUAACUUUUCCACCUAAUUCCUACCCCCCCCCCCCCUCC